rnacentral:rRNA from 1 species
CAGCCGCCGCGGGAAUACGGAGGGUGCAAGCGUUAAUCGGAAUUACUGGGCGUAAAGCGCACGCAGGCGGUCUGACAAGUCAGAUGUGAAAUCCCCGGGCUUAACCUGGGAACUGCAUUUGAAACUGUCAGGCUGGAGUCUUGUAGAGGGGGGUGGAAUUCCAGGUGUAGCGGUGAAAUGCGUAGAGAUCUGGAGGAAUACCGGUGGCGAAGGCGGCCCCCUGGACAAAGACUGACGCUCAGGUGCGAAAGCGUGGGGAGCAAACAGGAUUAGAUACCCCGGUCCCUGUCUCUUAUACACU